rnacentral:lncRNA from 1 species
CUAAUACAUCCUGGUGUGCUCUGCCUUGAAGUGUUUUUUUCCUGUCUGCCCAUCCAGCAUCUUAUUUAUGCCCCAUUCUGUCCCUCUCUCUCGUUGCCUUUGUUCUGUGGUCUCCUGGGUGAUGGAGUUAUUGUUUGUGUGUAGGGAUGUGUGGAUAAAAGGGAGCUGAUUUCUAGAGCCACAGGUUGAAGAUGACAGUAGAUCCUAAGGAACCUCAGUUCUAUCCCGAAAUGCGAAGGCCUUUUUACUCAACCACAAAGAAGUGGUCAGCAGAAAACUGGUCAUCCCGGCCUCUGGGGCCAUGCACAGCACUCAGGAGGAGCUACUAUUUUCCCUGCCUGUUUACAUGCGGCCUGGGGCCUUGUGGGCUAUUUGAAAAUUAGGACACGAGAAGUCCAAGCAGCACCUGAUAGACUGGGAGCUCCAUGAGGUCCGAGACAACCUGAAGACGCCCAGCUCAGCAGAGACUGGCUACGGCAAUCACUCAGUAACUAUUUGUUGAAUUGGACAUAAUAGAAGAGCUGAAGAAUUUUAAACAAGUCACCAUCAGUGCAGUGGAUUCCUCAAAGCAAACCUGGAAAUCUCGGCAUGAGUUGGAUUUAAGGCAGUACAUUUUCAGCUCCUGAAAAUUUGAACAGUUUCUCAAGAGAACAACUUGAAACAGAAAGGCAAGGAUGUAGAUGUGGUUGUAGAAGAUGAUGUCUGCGGCCACCAAACUGUCCACUGUGAAGACAAACCAUGCAUGUUUAGUAGGCAGUGGCUCCUCUUCCCUGUGGGGAGUCCCACUGCUUCCCUGGCCUGGGUGUUCUCUGCCGGUAGAUGUUAUUGACAAAAUAAGCAAAGUCCUCUGAUUCUGAGAAUUAGAGUUAAUGAUAGCUCUAGAUUGCCUCUGCCAUGCUAUUUAAAGUCCUGCUUUAUUGUCUGACAUGAGUUCGGCAUCUAUGAGGACUUGUCCAGUGCAAAGUACAAUCUCCACUGAAAGAUAUCACCAGCACAUCUUGUCACUGUGCUGUAGCAAGCUGGGCAGUACAAUGAUGUUGGCAGGAUCCUGUUUAGGUGGAGGAUGGCCACCUGGGCAUCAAGAAUCUUCUACCCUGAUUCCACAUUGACUCCCCAAAGUGGGCUUCAGACAGCUCUUUACUUACGUCUUCUGAUUAAAGCAGCAGACAGGGUCCCAGCUAGAGAAAAGUUCUGGGAGCAGGAGAGGUGUUGGUGGCUUUAAAACCAGGGGUGAAGAUUGAAUUAGGAGGUUAGGCAGGAGUAGGAUCAAAGACUUAGAAAAUGCUUGUUUCCUCCUAUUAUUCUUAUGAGAGCUGAUACGGGGCUUUCAGUUUUGGGGGAGAGCCUUGGAAGAGAAUGAGGGAAUUUAAUCAACUAGCGGGACCUUUCCAACUUACAUUUCCCAGUGUUUGUUGGAUGAUACGUUUGCCUAAUAAGUUAAAGCUUCCAAAAAUAGAAAGGAAAGCUUGGUGACACUAAGCUCUGGCAUGCUGUCAUCUUCUGGCUAGGGGUCUUGUGCUUCUGUUUUUCUAUUUCUGACCAAAGACAUAAAAUGUGUUGUGACCUCUCAGG